rnacentral:rRNA from 1 species
UACGGAGGGUGCGAGCGUUGUUCGGAAUCACUGGGCGUAAAGCGCGUGUAGGCGGCCCACUAAGUCUGAUGUGAAAGCCCGAGGCUCACCCUCGGAAGUGCAUUGGAAACUGGUGGACUCGAGUCCCGGAGAGGAGAGUGGAAUUCCUGGUGUAGCGGUGAAAUGCGUAGAUAUCAGGAGGAACACCGGUGGCGAAGGCGGCUCUCUGGACGGUGACUGACGCUGAGACGCGAAAGCGUGGGGAGCAAACAGG